rnacentral:rRNA from 1 species
UACGUAGGGCGCAAGCGUUGUCCGGAAUUAUUGGGCGUAAAGAGCUCGUAGGCGGUCUGUUGCGUCCGCUGUGAAAACCCAGGGCUUAACCCUGGGCUGGCAGUGGAUACGGACAGACUAGAGGUAGGUAGGGGAGAAUGGAAUUCCCGGUGUAGCGGUGAAAUGCGCAGAUAUCGGGAGGAACACCGGUGGCGAAGGCGGUUCUCUGGGCCUUACCUGACGCUGAGGAGCGAAAGCGUGGGGAGCGAACAGG